rnacentral:rRNA from 1 species
UACGUAGGGUGCAAGCGUUAAUCGGAAUUACUGGGCGUAAAGCGUGCGCAGGCGGUUUUGUAAGUCUGUCGUGAAAUCCCCGGGCUCAACCUGGGAAUUGCGAUGGAGACUGCAAGGCUAGAAUCUGGCAGAGGGGGGGUCGAAUUCCACGUGUAGCAGUGAAAUGCGUAGAGAUGUGGAGGAACACCGAUGGCGAAGGCAGCCCCCUGGGUCAAGAUUGACGCUCAUGCACGAAAGCGUGGGGAGCAAACAGG